AGCGAACGUUAGCGGCGGGCUUAAGACAUGCAAGUCGAGCGAGAAAAGGGCUUCGGCCCUGAGUAAAGCGGCGGACGGGUGAGUAAUACGUAGGUAAUCUUCCCUUGAGCGGGGGACAACGGUCCGAAAGGACCGCUAAUACCGCAUAAGUUCCUGGGGACUCUGGUCCUUGGGAGGAAAGCUAGGUAGCAAUAUCCGGCACUCGAGGAGGGGCCUGCGUCGCAUCAGCUAGUUGGUGGGGUAACGGCCUACCAAGGCGAAGACGCGUAGCUGGUCUGAGAGGAUGAUCAGCCACACUGGGACUGAGACACGGCCCAGACUCCUACGGGAGGCAGCAGUCGGGAAUAUUGGACAAUGGGCGCAAGCCUGAUCCAGCCACGCCGCGUGAGUGAUGAAGGCCUUCGGGUCGUAAAGCUCUGUGGGGAGGGACGAACCGCUGAUGGUUAAUACCCAGCAGCAUGACGGUACCUCCUUAGCAAGCACCGGCUAACUUCGUG
rnacentral:rRNA from 1 species